AACAAACGCUGGCGGCGUGCCUAAUACAUGCAAGUCGAACGGGGAAAGCUUUCGGGUGAGUACUAGUGGCGCACGGGUGAGGAACGCGUGGAUAAUCUGCCUUAGAGUGGGGGAUAACUAGUCGAAAGAUUAGCUAAUACCGCAUAAGACCACGAGAGCUGCGGCUUUUGAGGUCAAAGGUUUUUCGCUCUAAGAUGAGUCCGCGUAAGAUUAGCUAGUUGGUGAGGUAACGGCCCACCAAGGCGACGAUCUUUAACUGGUCUGAGAGGAUGAUCAGUCACACUGGAACUGAGACACGGUCCAGACUCCUACGGGAGGCAGCAGUAGGGAAUAUUGCACAAUGGAGGAAACUCUGAUGCAGCGACGCCGCGUGAGUGAUGAAGGCCUUCGGGUCGUAAAGCUCUGUCGCAGGGGAAUAACACAAUGAAGGUACCCUGUAAGAAAGAAUCGGCUAACUUCGUG
rnacentral:rRNA from 1 species